GACGAACGCUGGCGGCGUGCUUAACACAUGCAAGUCGAACGGAAAGGCCCUGCUUUUGUGGGGUGCUCGAGUGGCGAACGGGUGAGUAACACGUGAGUAACCUGCCCUUGACUUUGGGAUAACUUCAGGAAACUGGGGCUAAUACCGGAUAGGAGCUCCUGCUGCAUGGGGGGGGUUGGAAAGUUUCGGCGGUUGGGGAUGGACUCGCGGCUUAUCAGCUGGUUGGUGGGGUAGUGGCCUACCAAGGCUUCCAUGGGUAGCCGGCCUGAGAGGGUGAUCGGCCACACUGGAACUGAGACACGGUCCAGACUCCUACGGGAGGCAGCAGUGGGGAAUCUUGCGCAAUGGGCGAAAGCCUGACGGAGCAACGGCGCGUGAGUGAAGAAGGUCUUCGGAUCGUAAAGCGCUGUUAUUAGGGAAGAAGAACAGUGUAUGAAAAUAUGCCCGUCUUGACGGUACCUAAUGAGAAAGCCACGGCUAACUACGUG
rnacentral:rRNA from 1 species